rnacentral:lncRNA from 1 species
UGUCUUUUUCCUGUGAACUUAGCACAUGUUUUCUUAAGAGAAAGGGAAUUACAUGAUAAUGUAGCUAUGAGAGAAUUUAUCUUAGUACAUAUUACAAACUACCUAACGAGUGAUAAGUGACUUAGAACAAACUAAAGCAGCAAAAAAGAAAAAGAGCGACGAAAAAGGACCCUUAGCCAUAAAACCCUACUUGAGCCUAUAAGAAGAAAUGUCAUCAACGCAGUAGUUGCCUUACAUGACUCAUGAGACAUAGUCAUGGUAGAGAUUUCCGACUUGGAAGGGCGGGCUGCUCACG